UACGGGGGGGAGCAAGCGUUGUUCGGAUUUACUGGGCGUAAAGGGCGCGUAGGCGGCCACCGCAAGUCGACUGUGAAAUCUCCGGGCUUAACCCGGAAAGGUCAGCCGAUACUGCGGGGCUAGAGUGCAGAAGGGGCAACUGGAAUUCUCGGUGUAGCGGUGAAAUGCGUAGAUAUCGAGAGGAACACCUGCGGCGAAGGCGGGUUGCUGGGCUGACACUGACGCUGAAGCGCGAAAGCUAGGGGAGCGAACGGG
rnacentral:rRNA from 1 species